rnacentral:rRNA from 1 species
UACGAAGGGGGCUAGCGUUGUUCGGAAUCACUGGGCGUAAAGCGCACGUAGGCGGAUCUUUAAGUCAGGGGUGAAAUCCCGAGGCUCAACCUCGGAACUGCCUUUGAUACUGGGGAUCUCGAGUCCGGGAGAGGUGAGUGGAACUGCGAGUGUAGAGGUGAAAUUCGUAGAUAUUCGCAAGAACACCAGUGGCGAAGGCGGCUCACUGGCCCGGAACUGACGCUGAGGUGGCGAAAGCGUGGGAGCAACAGG